AUUGAACGCUGGCGGCAGGCCUAACACAUGCAAGUCGAGCGGAUGAAGGGAGCUUGCUCCUGGAUUCAGCGGCGGACGGGUGAGUAAUGCCUAGGAAUCUGCCUGGUAGUGGGGGAUAACGUCCGGAAACGGGCGCUAAUACCGCAUACGUCCUGAGGGAGAAAGUGGGGGAUCUUCGGACCUCACGCUAUCAGAUGAGCCUAGGUCGGAGUAGCUAGUUGGUGGGGUAAAGGCCUACCAAGGCGACGAUCCGUAACUGGUCUGAGAGGAUGAUCAGUCACACUGGAACUGAGACACGGUCCAGACUCCUACGGGAGGCAGCAGUGGGGAAUAUUGGACAAUGGGCGAAAGCCUGAUCCAGCCAUGCCGCGUGUGCGAAGAAGGUCUUCGGAUUGUAAAGCACUUUAAGUUGGGAGGAAGGGCAGUAAGUUAAUACCUUGCUGUUUUGACGUUACCAACAGAAUAAGCACCGGCUAACUUCGUG
rnacentral:rRNA from 1 species